UACAGAGGGUGCGAGCGUUGUUCGGAAUUACUGGGCGUAAAGAGUGUGUAGGCGGUGCUCUAAGUCUGUUGUGAAAUCUCCCGGCUUAACUGGGAGGGUGCGGCGGAAACUGGAGUGCUAGAGGGUGGGAGAGGAAAGCGGAAUUCCUGGUGUAGCGGUGAAAUGCGUAGAUAUCAGGAGGAACACCUGCGGUGUAGACAGCUUUCUGGACCACUUCUGACGCUGAGACACGAAAGCGUGGGUAGCAAACAGG
rnacentral:rRNA from 1 species